rnacentral:snRNA from 1 species
GUGCUUGCUUCAGCAGCACAUAUACAAAAACUGGAACGAUACCAAGAAGAUUAGCAUGACCCCUGCACAAGGAAUGACACACAAAUUCAUGAAGCGUUAAAAUUAAAG